rnacentral:rRNA from 1 species
UAAUACGGAGGGUGCGAGCGUUACCCGGAUUUACUGGGUGUAAAGGGCGUGUAGGCGGUCUCUCAAGUCCGAUGCUAAAGACCGAAGCUCAACUUCGGGGGUGCGUUGGAUACUGUGAGGCUAGACGGUCGGAGAGGGUAGCGGAAUUUCCGGAGUAGCGGUGAAAUGCGCAGAUACCGGAAGGAACGCCGAUAGCGAAAGCAGCUACCUGGACGAUUUGUGACGCUGAGGCGCGAAAGCGUGGGGAGCAAACCGGAUUAGAUACCCGGGUAGUCCACGCCCUAAACGAUGAGUGCUGGGUGUCCGACAUCUGUUGGGUGCCGUAGCUAACGCGUUAAGCACUCCACCUGGGAAGUACGGCCGCAAGGCUGAA